AGCGAACGCUGGCGGCAGGCCUAACACAUGCAAGUCGAACGAACCUUUCGGGGUUAGUGGCGGACGGGUGAGUAACACGUGGGAACGUGCCUUUAGGUUCGGUAUAACUCAGGGAAACUUGUGCUAAUACCGCAUGUGCCCUUCGGGGGAAAGAUUUAUCGCCUUUAGAGCGGCCCGCGUCUGAUUAGCUAGUUGGUUGAGGUAAUGGCUCACCAAGGCGACGAUCAGUAGCUGGUCUGAGAGGAUGAUCAGCCACAUUGGGACUGAGACACGGCCCAAACUCCGACGGGAGGCAGCAGUGGGGAAUCUUGCGCAAUGGGCGAAAGCGUGACGCAGCCAUGCCGCGUGAAUGAUGAAGGUCUUAGGAUUGUAAAAUUCUUUCACCGGGGACGAGAAUGACGGUACCCGGAGAAGAAGCCCCGGCUAACUUCGUG
rnacentral:rRNA from 1 species